GAUGAUGUACGAACACCAGCGAGCGAGCACGGCGGCAGAGACGCCGGCUGGGGAGGGCCCCCCUCCAACUCCCCUCUGCAGGGAUGAGCAUUCGUGCUGCGUCAAACCUGCAAAUCGUUCGCUUGCUUUGAGGACACGUGCAAUAUCAUCCAGGCUACUAACUACAGAAAACUUGAAGCAAUCAACUGAAGUUUGUGCAUUGACAUAUCACUUCAUUAGCUGUGAAUUCAUUUCCAAGGGGGCGGUGAACUUUAAUGAAGUUGGAAAUUGAAUCAUGCUGUUGUGUGUAGGGAGACGCCGGAAUCGGAGGGGGCUGUGCAUCGGAAAGGCUCCUUGGCCAAUUAAAAAAUUAAAACACAGUU